CCUCUCGGCCUUGAGCUUGUCAAGAACCCAUGCAUACUUGAAUGACCUCUUGUUCAUCUCAGAAGCUUCCUUCUCGAAACUCUCAAUUUCACAUUUCCUGACAGCUCCCAACACUGCAAGUUGUCAGCUUGUCUCUCUUAUCAAUAUUUGAUUUUGAUGAUUGUUGGUUACUCAAAUUCUAAUUUAUUGUUCUGUCAUUCUAAAAUCUCAUGAACCUACAACUUGCAGCCUGUCCGUGAUCGCUUCAAAAAUAACGCUGAUGCCAAAAAGCUAUUGGAAAAAGUGAAGGAGCGUAGAUUGUAACAUUUUUAUGGUGGGAUACAUAUAUUCCAUCAUCAAUGGCACACCUAACGUAACGCACAGCUACCCCUCAAUCAGAAACCAUUCGUCAAUGCACACUAACUUUCCAAUCAAAUACAUGAGAGAAUCCCCCACUAUUGGCAUUCGAUCAGAUCUUCGCAUUGCUGUCACAUUGCAACCCAAACGGCAAAUCAACUACAGCCUGCAAUAUGAUGUACCAAGUAGUAUCCAAUGUAUCGUGUUGUAUGAAAUUUUCUAUAUUAUGUAUAUAUAGAUGAUUUGUGUGCAUAUUGUAUCAAAUGCACUAUCCAAUGUAUCAUGUUGUAUCAAAUUUAUCAGUGUAACUAGUAGAAAUGUAUCUAGUAGAAA